UGGUGGGAUACUACCCUGGCUGUAUGACCAUUCUAACCCGCCACGCUUAGCGCGUGGGGAGACAGUGUCAGGUGGGCAGUUUGACUGGGGCGGUCGCCUCCUAAAGAGGAACGGAGGCGCCCAAAGGUUCCCUCAGAAUGGAUGGAAAUCAUUCGCAGAGUGUAAAGGCACAAGGGAGCUUGACUGCGAGACUGACAAGUCGAGCAGGGACGAAAGUCGGGCUUAGUGAUCCGGUG
rnacentral:rRNA from 1 species